rnacentral:rRNA from 1 species
GACGAACGCUGGCGGCGUGCUUAAUACAUGCAAGUCAACUGAACUUUAGGUAGCAAUAUUUAAAGGGAGGUGGCGCACGGGUGAGUAACACGUAGGUAAUCUGCCUUCAGGACUGACAUAAUUCCGCGAAAGCGGGACUAAAAUCAGAUGAUGCAGCGGCUCGACAUCAAGACAGUUGUUAAACCCUUCGGGGCCUGAAGAUGAGCCUGCGUCUGAUUAGGUAGUUGGCGGGGGUAAAAGCCCACCAAGCCUGCGAUCAGUAGCUGGUCUGAGAGGAUGAUCAGCCACACUGGAACUGAGACACGGUCCAGACUCCUACGGGAGGCAGCAGUAAGGAAUAUUGCUCAAUGGCCGAAAAGGCUGAAGCAGCAACGCCGCGUGGAGGAUGAAAUACUUUAGUAUGUAAACUCCUGUAAGAGGGGAAAAAUAUACAGCUAUGCUGUGUUGAUUGUACCCUCAGAGUAAGCACCGGCUAACUACGUGCCAG